rnacentral:rRNA from 1 species
CCUACGGGUGGCAGCAGUGAGGAAUAUUGGUCAAUGGGCGCGAGCCUGAACCAGCCAAGUCGCGUGAGGGAGGACGGCCCUACGGGUUGUAAACCUCUUUUGCCGGGGAGCAACGGGCGUCACGUGUGGCGCCACUGAGAGUACCCGGAGAAAAAGCAUCGGCUAACUCCGUGCCAGCAGCCGCGGUAAUACGGAGGAUGCGAGCGUUAUCCGGAUUUAGGGGGUUUAAAGGGUGCGUAGGCGGAUCGUUAAGUCAGUGGUCAAGUUGAGGGUCUCAACCCCUUCCCGCCAUUGAAACUGGCGCUCUUGAGUGGAAGAGAAGUAUGCGGAAUGCGUGGUGUAGCGGUGAAAUGCAUAGAUAUCACGCAGAACCCCGAUUGCGAAGGCAGCAUGCCGGCUUCCGACUGACGCUGAAGCACGAAAGCGUGGGGAUCGAACAGGAUUAGAUACCCCUGUAGUC